rnacentral:rRNA from 1 species
UGAGGAAUAUUGGACAAUGGAGGCAACUCUGAUCCAGCCAUGCCGCGUGCAGGAAGACUGCCCUAUGGGUUGUAAACUGCUUUUAUACAGGAAGAAACACUCGGACGUGUCCGAGCUUGACGGUACUGUAAGA